GGCUCGUAAGCUGCAUCUUUCUGGCGUACUUCCAGCCUCCAUGUGUAAGCAAGGGGGUUGGCGGUGCUUUAGUUAGAGGCAGCCGCUGCGAAUUGCGUCAGAAGUCUGUGGUUUCGAAGUAGGCAGUCCACCUGACCCGUCUUGAAACACGGACCAAGGAGUCUAACAUGUGCGCGAGUCAUUGGGUUAUACGAAACCUAAAGGCGCAGUGAAAGUGAAGAUCUACUCUGGUGGAUUGAGGUAGGAUCCUGGGUCACGUGCUCGGGCGCACUACCGGCCCGUUCGACAUGUCUUCAUGCGGGCGGAGCAAGAGCGUACACGUUGGGACCCGAAAGAUGGUGAACUAUGCUUGCGCAGGUCGAAGCCAGAGGAAACUCUGGUGGAGGACCGUAGCGAUUCUGACGUGCAAAUCGAUCGUCAAACGUGAGUAUAGGGGCGAAAGACUAAUCGAACCAUCUAGUAGCUGGUUCCCUCCGAAGUUUCCCUCAGGAUAGCUGGCACUCGGGAAAUGAAACAGUUUUAUCCGGUAAAGCGAAUGAUUAGAGGUAUUGGGACGAAACUGCUCUCAACCUAUUCUCAAACUUUAAAUGGGUAAGAUGCCCGACUCGCUCAAUUGGAGCCGGGCUUCCUUCUGAAUGUGAGUGCCCAGUGGGCCAUUUUUGGUAAGCAGAACUGGCGCUG
rnacentral:rRNA from 1 species